rnacentral:rRNA from 1 species
AUUGAACGCUGGCGGCAGGCUUAACACAUGCAAGUCGAGCGGGGUGAUGGUGCUUGCACUAUCACUUAGCGGCGGACGGGUGAGUAAUGCUUAGGAAUCUGCCUAUUAGUGGGGGACAACAUCUCGAAAGGGAUGCUAAUACCGCAUACGUCCUACGGGAGAAAGCAGGGGAUCAUUUGUGACCUUGCGCUAAUAGAUGAGCCUAAGUCGGAUUAGCUAGUUGGUGGGGUAAAGGCCUACCAAGGCGACGAUCUGUAGCGGGUCUGAGAGGAUGAUCCGCCACACUGGGACUGAGACACGGCCCAGACUCCUACGGGAGGCAGCAGUGGGGACUAUUGGACAAUGGGGGGAACCCUGAUCCAGCCAUGCCGCGUGUGUGAAGAAGGCCUUAUGGUUGUAAAGCACUUUAAGCGAGGAGGAGGCUCUUUUGGUUAAUACCCAAGAUGAGUGGACGUUACUCGCAGAAUAAGCACCGGCUAACUCUGUGCCAGCAGCCGCAGUAA